rnacentral:rRNA from 1 species
UGAGGAAUUUUGGACAAUGGGCGCAAGCCUGAUCCAGCCAUGCCGCGUGAGUGAAGAAGGCCUUCGGGUUGUAAAGCUCUUUCGGCGGGGAAGAAAUUGCACUCUCUAAUACAGGGCGUAGAUGACGGUACCCGCAUAAGAAGCACCGGCUAACUACGUGCCAGCAGCCGCGGUAAUACGUAGGGUGCGAGCGUUAAUCGGAAUUACUGGGCGUAAAGCGUGCGCAGGCGGUUGUGUAAGUCAGAUGUGAAAUCCCCGGGCUCAACCUGGGAACUGCAUUUGAGACUGCACGGCUAGAGUGUGACAGAGGGGGGUAGAAUUCCACGUGUAGCAGUGAAAUGCGUAGAGAUGUGGAGGAAUACCGAUGGCGAAGGCAGCCCCCUGGGUUACUACUGACGCUCAGAUGCGAAAGCUAAGGUAGCAAACG